UACGUAGGGGGCAAGCGUUGUCCGGAAUCAUUGGGCGUAAAGAGCGUGUAGGCGGUCCGGUAAGUCCGCUGUGAAAGUCGGGGGCUCAACCCUCGGAUGCCGGUGGAUACUGUCGGGCUUGAGUACGGAAGAGGCGAGUGGAAUUCCUGGUGUAGCGGUGAAAUGCGCAGAUAUCAGGAAGAACACCCGUGGCGAAGGCGGCACUCUGGGACGGUACUGACGCUGAGACGCGAAAGCGUGGGGAGCGAACAGG
rnacentral:rRNA from 1 species